rnacentral:rRNA from 1 species
UCGAGCGAGCGGAACCACAGAUUUACUUCGGUAAUGACGUUGGGAAAGCGAGCGGCGGAUGGGUGAGUAACACGUGGGGAACCUGCCCCUAAGUCUGGGAUACCAUUUGGAAACAGGUGCUAAUACCGGAUAAUAAAGCGGAUCGCAUGAUCAGCUUUUGAAAGGCGGCGUAAGCUGUCGCUAAGGGAUGGCCCCGCGGUGCAUUAGCUAGUUGGUAAGGUAACGGCUUACCAAGGCGACGAUGCAUAGCCGAGUUGAGAGACUGAUCGGCCACAUUGGGACUGAGACACGGCCCAAACUCCUACGGGAGGCAGCAGUAGGGAAUCUUCCACAAUGGACGCAAGUCUGAUGGAGCAACGCCGCGUGAGUGAAGAAGGUUUUCGGAUCGUAAAGCUCUGUUGUUGGUGAAGAAGGAUAGAGGUAGUAACUGGCCUUUAUUUGACGGUAAUCAACCAGAAAGUCACGGCUAACUACGUGCCAGCAGCCGCGGUAAUACGUAGGUGGCAAGCGUUGUCCGGAUUUAUUGGGCGUAAAGCGAGCGCAGGCGGAAAAAUAAGUCUAAUGUGAAAGCCCUCGGCUUAACCGAGGAACUGCAUCGGAAACUGUUUUUCUUGAGUGCAGAAGAGGAGAGUGGAACUCCAUGUGUAGCGGUGGAAUGCGUAGAUAUAUGGAAGAACACCAGUGGCGAAGGCGGCUCUCUGGUCUGCAACUGACGCUGAGGCUCGAAAGCAUGGGUAGCGAACAGGAUUAGAUACCCUGGUAGUCCAUGCCGUAAACGAUGAGUGCUAAGUGUUGGGAGGUUUCCGCCUCUCAGUGCUGCAGCUAACGCAUUAAGCACUCCGCCUGGGGAGUACGACCGCAAGGUUGAAACUCAAAGGAAUUGACGGGGGCCCGCACAAGCGGUGGAGCAUGU